rnacentral:rRNA from 1 species
UACGUAGGGUGCGAGCGUUGUCCGGAAUUACUGGGCGUAAAGAGCUCGUAGGUGGUUUGUCGCGUUGUCCGUGAAAACUCACAACUCAAUUGUGGGCGUGCGGGCGAUACGGGCAGACUGGAGUACUGCAGAGGAGACUGGAAUUCCCGGUGUAGCGGUGGAAUGCGCAGAUAUCGGGAGGAACACCCGUGGCGAAGGCGGGUCUCUGGGACGGUACUGACGCUCAGGCACGAAAGCGUGGGGAGCAAACAGG